rnacentral:tRNA from 1 species
GGAGAGGUGGCUGAGUGGCCGAAAGCGACGGUUUGCUAAACCGUUGAGGUGGUAACGCCUCCGCAGGUUCGAAUCCUGUCUUCUCCG